rnacentral:rRNA from 1 species
ACUCCUACGGGAGGCAGCAGUGAGGAAUAUUGGUCAAUGGACGGAAGUCUGAACCAGCCAUGCCGCGUGAAGGAUGAAGGCGUUCUGCGUUGUAAACUUCUUUUAUUAGGGAAGAAACCACAGAUUUCUAUUUGUGUUGACGGUACCUUAUGAAUAAGCACCGGCUAACUCCGUGCCAGCAGCCGCGGUAAU